rnacentral:rRNA from 1 species
UUGAUCCUGGCUCAGGAUGAACGCUAGCGGCAGGCCUAACACAUGCAAGUCGAGGGGUAAGGACGAGCNUUGCUCUCCCUAGACCGGCGUACGGGUGCGUAACACGUGUACAAUCUACCUUUUACUAAGGGAUAGCCCGAAGAAAUUUGGAUUAAUACCUUAUAGUAUUAUUUUAUGGNAUCAUUAAAUAAUUAAAGCUACGGUGGUAAAAGAUGAGUACGCGUCCCAUUAGCUAGUUGGAGUGGUAACGGCACACCAAGGCUACGAUGGGUANGGGUUCUGAGAGGGGAUGUCCCCCCACACUGGUACUGAGAACACGGACCCAGACCUCCUACGGGAGGCAGCAGUGAGGAAAUAUUGGACAAUGGUCGGAAGACUGAUCCAGCCAUGCCGCGUGCAGGAUGACGGCCUUAUGGGUUGUAAACUGCUUUUAUACAGGAAGAAUACGGUCUACGAGUAGAUUGAUGACGGUACUGUAUGAAUAAGCAUCGGCUAACUCCGUGCCAGCAGCCCGCGGUAAUACGGAGGAUGCGAGCGUUAUCCGGAAUCAUUAGGGUUUAAAGGGUCCGUGCGCGGGCGUAUAAGUCAGAGGUGAAAGCCACUGAGCUCAACUGAGUAACUGCCUUUGAAACUGUAGGUCUUGAAUAGUUGUGAAGUANNCUCGNAAUGUNUAGUGUANCGNUGAAAUGCAUNANAUAUUACACAGAACACCCGNUUGCGAAGGCAUGUUACUNACGACCGAUUGNCGCUGAUGGNNCNAAAGCGUGGGCGNGCGAACAGGAUUANNAUACCCUGGNUAGUCCACGCUUGUAAACNANGGANACUAGCUGNUNGNNUUUNCGGACUGAGUGGCUAAGCGAAAGUGAUAAGUAUCCCACCUGGGGAGUACGCACGCAAGUGUGAAACUCAAAGGAAUUGACGGGNGCCCNCACAAGCGGUGGAGCAUGUGGUUUAAUUCGAUGAUACGCGAGGAACCUUACCAAGGUUUAAAUGGGAAACGACGUAUNCUAGAGAUAGGUAUUUCUUCGGACGUUUUUCAAGGUGCUGNCAUGGUUGUCGUCAGACUCGUGNCCGUGAGGUGUCCNGUUAAACC